GACGAACGCUGGCGGCGUGCCUAAUACAUGCAAGUAGAACGCUGAAGCGAGGAGCUUGCUCUUCUUGGAUGAGUUGCGAACGGGUGAGUAACGCGUAGGUAACCUGCCUUGUAGCGGGGGAUAACUAUUGGAAACGAUAGCUAAUACCGCAUAACAAUGGAUGACACAUGUCAUUUAUUUGAAAGGGGCAAUUGCUCCACUACAAGAUGGACCUGCGUUGUAUUAGCUAGUAGGUGAGGUAAUGGCUCACCUAGGCGACGAUACAUAGCCGACCUGAGAGGGUGAGCGGCCACACUGGGACUGAGACACGGCCCAGACUCCUACGGGAGGCAGCAGGAGGGAAUCUUCGGCAAUGGGGGCAACACUGACCGAGCAACGCCGCGUGAGGGAAGAAGGUUGUCGGAUCGGAAAGCUCUGUUGUAAGUCAAGAACGGGUGUGAGAGUGGAAAGUUCACACUGUGACGGUAGCUUACCAGAAAGGGACGGCUAACUACGUG
rnacentral:rRNA from 1 species